CCUACGGGUGGCAGCCGUGAGGAAUAUUGGUCAAUGGGCGGAAGCCUGAACCAGCCAAGUAGCGUGCAGGAUGACGGCCCUACGGGUUGUAAACUGCUUUUAUACGGGAAUAACGCGCCUUACGUUUAUAGCUUUGCAUGUACCGUAUGAAUAAGGACCGGCUAAUUCCGUGCCAGCAGCCGCGGUAAUACGGAAGGUCCGAGCGUUAUCCGGAUUUAUUUGGUUUAAAGGGAGCGUAGGCCGCAUGUCAAGCGUGCUGUGAAAUGUCCGGGCUCAACCCGGGCCUUGCAGCGCGAACUGGCGUGCUUGAGUCCGCGGAAAGCAGGCGGAAUUCGUCGUGUAGCGGUGAAAUGCUUAGAUAUGACGAAGAACCCCGAUUGCGAAGGCAGCUUGCUGCAGCGGAACUGACGCUGAUGCUCGAAAGCGCGGGUAUCGAACAGGAUUAGAUACCCGGGUAGUC
rnacentral:rRNA from 1 species